GUGGUCCGCAGCUUCGGAUC
rnacentral:miRNA from 1 species